rnacentral:rRNA from 1 species
GACGAACGCUGGCGGCGUGCUUAACACAUGCAAGUCGAACGGAUAGGCCCUGCUUUUGUGUGGUUCUCGAGUGGCGAACGGGUGAGUAACACGUGAGUAACCUGCCCUUGACUUUGGGAUAACUUCAGGAAACUGGUGCUAAUACCUGAUAGGAGCUCGUGCAGCAUGGUGGUGGUUGGAAAGUUUCGGCGGUGGGGGAUGUACUCGCGGCUUAUCAGCUUGUUGGUGUGGUAGUGGCUUACCAAGGCUUUGACGGGUAGCCGGCCUGAGAGCGUGGACGGCCACAUGGGGACUGAGAGACGGAGCAGACUGCAACGGGAGGCAACAGUGGGGAAUAUUGCACAAUGGGCGCACGCCUGAGAAGAAAACGCCGGGUGCGGGAUGAACGCCUUGGGGUUGUAAACCGCUUUCGCCUAUGACGAAGCGUGAGUGACGGUAAUGGGUAAAGAAGCACCGGCUAACUACGUG